rnacentral:misc_RNA from 1 species
GAUGAAGAACGUAGCGAAAUGCGAUACGUAAUGUGAAUUGCAGAAUUCAGUGAAUCAUCGAAUCUUUGAACGCACCUUGCGCCCUUUGGCUAUUCCGAAGGGCAUGCCUGUUUGAGUAUCAUGAACACCUCAACUCUCAUGGCUUGCCAUGAUGAGCUUGGACUUUUGGGGGUCUUGCUGGCCUGUGGUCAGCUCCUCUCAAAUGAAUUAGCCUGCCAGUGUUUGGUGGCAUCACAGGUGUGAUAACUAUCUACGCUUGUGGUUUUCCACCAGGUAACCUUCAGUGAUGAAGGUUCGCUGGGGCUCAUAAACGUCUCUCCUCAGUGAGGACAGCUCUUUGAACGUUUGAUCUCAAAUCAGGUAGGACUACCCGCUGAACUUAAGCAUAUCAAUAAGCGGAGGA